rnacentral:rRNA from 1 species
CCUACGGGUGGCAGCAGUGAGGAAUAUUGGUCAAUGGGCGCAAGCCUGAACCAGCCAAGUCGCGUGAGGGAAGACGGCCCUACGGGUUGUAAACCUCUUUUGCCGGGGAGCAAGCCUGAGCACGUGUGCCCAGGCGGAGAGUACCCGGAGAAAAAGCAGCGGCUAACGCCGUGCCCGCAGCCGCGGUAAUAAGGAGGAUGCGCGCGUGAUCGGGAUUGAGUGGGUUGAAAGGGUGCGUAGGCGGGCUGUUAAGCCGGCGGUAAAAAUUCAGGGCUCAACCCGGUCGGGCCGUCGGAACUGGCAGCCUUGAGUGGGCGAGAGGUAUGCGGAAUGCGUGGUGUAGCGGUGAAAUGCAUAGAUAUCACGCAGAACGCCGAUUGCGAAGGCAGCAUACCGGCGCCCGACUGACGCUGAGGCACGAAAGCGUGGGGAUCGAACAGGAUUAGAUACCCUUGUAGUC